AAACCAUAAACCAGCAACUUUCACUAACGGAUCUCGCCUGACCAGAAACCUGAGUUUAUUGGCCGCGGUAUUUUGACCGUGCAAAGGUAGCGCAAUCACUUGUCUUUUAAAUGAAGACCUGUAUGAAUGGCAUAACGAGGGCUUAACUGUCUCCCUUUUCCAGUCAAUGAAAUUGAUCUCCCCGUGCAGAAGCGGGGAUUAAAACAUCUAGACGAGAAGACCCUAUGGAGCUUUAGACAAAGAGCAGACCAUGUUAAACACACCUAAAUAAAGGACAAAACCAAUUGGCCCCUGCCCUUAUGUCUUUGGUUGGGGCGACCGCGGGGAAACAAAAAACCCCCAUGUGGACUGAAGACAUUCCUCUUCACAACCAAGAGCCACAGCUCUAGCAACAGAACAUCUGACCAACAAGAUCCGGCACUAAGCCGAUCAACGGACCGAGUUACCCUAGGGAAUAACAGCCGCAUCCUCCUUUUAGAGCCCCCAUCGACAGGAAGGUUUACGACCUCGAUGUUGGGAUCAAGAACAUCCCUAAUGGUGCAGCCGCUAUUAAGGGGUCCGUUUGUUCAACGAAUAAAGUUCCUACGUGAUCUGAGUUCCAACCCGGAACCUCUCCUGUUUUUCAAAACAUAGUCCGGAUCUUGUUUCAAACGGUGUG
rnacentral:rRNA from 1 species